CCACUUCCAUUCUGGAAACAACUGCUUGUGGCAAGUGAAGCCACACAUCAAAUCCUGGUUGACUUUAUGAGGAAUUGGCGAUGACAAAAAAUUCAGAUAUCUUGGAGCAUCUGGAUUCAGACGAGGCGGAGAAGCGUCUGCAAAGCGCGGGGUACGAGCAGGUUUUGGAGAGAGAGGAUUGGAAAUUGGAGGCUGGUAAAAAGUACUACUUCACCAGGAACUACUCCACCAUUGUGGCUUUUGCAAUCGGUAAAAAAUUUGUUGCCGGAAAUGGAUUCCAUAUAGUUCGUGCUCAUACUGAUAGUCCUUGUCUCAAAUUGAAGUCUGUUUCCAAGGUAGCUAAGGGUGGGUACUUGGAAGUGGGAGUCCAAACAUAUGGAGGUGGCUUGUGGCAUACCUGGUACAACCGUGACUUGACAAUUGCAGGAAGGGUGAUAGUAAGAGAAGAGAAAGAUGGUGUUGUUUCUUACUCACAUAGACUUGUCCGGAUUGAGGAGCCCAAUUCCUACUCUGGCAAUUCACCUGGACAGGGAAUCUUGCUGCGCAAUUUAUUAUUCACAUGUUUGGGUUGUUGAGUGGUUUGUGCUUUGGACUGAGAUAUGCGUGUAUUUUUCAUUUUUAUUGGCAUGCUCUUGACAGGGAUGUUAGAGAGGCGUUUAAGGAGGAGAGGGCUAUGUUGAUUCUGCAAACCUUAAGAGGCUAGGCUGCUGAAGGCUUAUGGAGAGCUUUCAAGGAACACAUCUUAACGACGAUAUUACUGGGGGUCUUGAAGAUAAAAAUGAAGGUGGUGCUAAUGACUACAUCGAGUUUGAGGAUGAAGAUAUUGAUAAUAUUUAAAGUUUGCAGCUAGUACUUUUAUGGUUUUGUAUUUCCAUAUGGGCAAUUGGUCAU